UACGGGGGGGGCAAGCGUUGUUCGGAAUUACUGGGCGUAAAGGGCUCGUAGGUGGCCAACUAAGUCAGACGUGAAAUCCCUCGGCUUAACCGGGGAACUGCAUCUGAUACUGGAUGGCUUGAGAUUGGGAGAGGGAUGCGGAAUUCCAGGUGUAGCGGUGAAAUGCGUAGAUAUCUGGAGGAACACCGGUGGCGAAGGCGGCAUCCUGGACCAACACUGACGCUGAGGAGCGAAAGCCAGGGGAGCAAACGGG
rnacentral:rRNA from 1 species